GAUGAACGCUGGCGGCGUGCCUAAUACAUGCAAGUCGAGCGAACAGACGAGGAGCUUGCUCCUUUGACGUUAGCGGCGGACGGGUGAGUAACACGUGGGUAACCUACCUAUAAGACUGGGAUAACUUCGGGAAACCGGAGCUAAUACCGGAUAAUAUUUCGAACCGCAUGGUUCGAUAGUGAAAGAUGGCUCUGCUAUCACUUAUAGAUGGACCUGCGCCGUAUUAGCUAGUUGGUAAGGUAACGGCUUACCAAGGCAACGAUACGUAGCCGACCUGAGAGGGUGAUCGGCCACACUGGAACUGAGACACGGUCCAGACUCCUACGGGAGGUAGCAGUAGGGAAUCUUCCGCAAUGGGCGAAAGCCUGACGGAGCAACGCCGCGUGAGUGAUGAAGGUCUUCGGAUCGUAAAACUCUGUUAUUAGGGAAGAACAAACGUGUAAGUAACUGUGCACGUCUUGACGGUACCUAAGCAGAAAGCCACGGCUAACUACGU
rnacentral:rRNA from 1 species